GUUCCUGGGGCUGAAGACCGAAUCUUUGUGAAGUGUCACUUACGGGCGGAGGAGUGGGGGACAGUUAGCCACUGUUCCAAAAGAGAACUUGAGAAUCUAAACGUGUUCUUUUUACCUUGGAGACAUUUCAAAUCAAACGACAAGAGGGAAGUAGAGGGAAUGAGAAACCAAGCUACGUUAGCUACUGUUCAUGGAGUAGGUAACGGAGAGCAGGGCUCGGGGACACACAGAUGACUGAACUUCUCUUGUAGCUUUAGUAUUUGAGAUGCCACUGGCUAAGUGCUCAGCUUCUGGGCACAUCUGAUCUGUGAGAAAAAUGUUUUCCUCAAGAGCGCUAGAGAUUUCAUUCUAGAUCUCUCUCUAACACUUUACACAGAAGGAUCGUGUCAGUAAUUAUCAAAUGAAUCAAGGUGUCCAGAGAAGCAUUCAGUGCUUCUGAAAGCCUGCCUCUCAGGGCGACCACUGUCCAUGUAGGAAAUCCACGGUGGCGGCAAAGGGAGAUGGUAGAUUUUGCCAGAGAACUGCUGGGGACAUUUUACUCUGAAGAGUACAUUGAUUAAAAGCACGAAUAUCAAGGGACCGUCAGAAACAAAAAUAAAAGUUUUCUUUUUUAAUUAUUAAAAAAAGUUAAUGGGUCACAA